rnacentral:rRNA from 1 species
UACAGAGGGGGCAAGCGUUGUUCGGAAUUACUGGGCGUAAAGGGCGCGUAGGCGGCCUGCUAAGUCGAACGUGAAAUCCCCGAGCUCAACUCGGGAACUGCCCUCCAAACUGUUUGGCUUGAGUCCGGGAGAGGUGAGUGGAAUUCCCAGUGUAGCGGUGAAAUGCGUAGAUAUUGGGAGGAGCACCAGUGGCGAAGGCGGCUCACUGGACCGGAACUGACGCUGAGGCGCGAAAGCGUGGGGAGCAAACAGG